CACGUAGGGCGCAAGCGUUGUCCGGAAUUAUUGGGCGUGAAGAGCUCGUAGGCGGUCUGUUGCGUCCGCUGUGAAAACUCGGGGCUUAACCCCGAGCCUGCAGUGGAUACGGGCAGACUAGAGGUAGGUAGGGGAGAAUGGAAUUCCCGGUGUAGCGGUGAAAUGCGCAGAUAUCGGGAGGAACACCGGUGGCGAAGGCGGUUCUCUGGGACGGUACUGACGCUGAGACGCGAAAGCGUGGGGAGCGAACAGG
rnacentral:rRNA from 1 species